UACGAAGGGGGCUAGCGUUGCUCGGAAUCACUGGGCGUAAAGGGUGCGUAGGCGGGUCUUUAAGUCAGGGGUGAAAUCCUGGAGCUCAACUCCAGAACUGCCUUUGAUACUGAAGAUCUUGAGUUCGGGAGAGGUGAGUGGAACUGCGAGUGUAGAGGUGAAAUUCGUAGAUAUCAGGAGGAACACCGGUGGCGAAGGCGGCUAUCUGGACAGAGUCUGACGCUGAGGCGCGAAAGCUAGGGGAGCAAACAGG
rnacentral:rRNA from 1 species